AGAACGAACGCUGGCGGCAGGCUUAACACAUGCAAGUCGAACGCUCGUAGCAAUACGGGAGUGGCAGACGGGUGAGUAACGCGUGGGAACAUACCCUCCGGUUCGGAAUAGCUCAGGGAAACUUGGAUUAAUACCGGAUACGGCCGAGAGGCGAAAGAUUUAUCGCCGGAGGAUUGGCCCGCGUUCGAUUAGCUAGUUGGUGAGGUAACGGCUCACCAAGGCGAUGAUCGAUAGCUGGUCUGAGAGGAUGAUCAGCCACAUUGGGACUGAGACACGGCCCAAACUCCUACGGGAGGCAGCAGUGGGAAUAUUGGACAAUGGGCGCAAGCCUGAUCCAGCCAUGCCGCGUGAGUGAUGACGGCCUUAGGGUUGUAAAGCUCUUUCGCUCGGGACGAUAAUGACGGUACCGAGAUAAGAAGCCCCGGCUAACUUCGUGCCAGCAGCUGC
rnacentral:rRNA from 1 species